ensembl:lncRNA
AUUCCAGCGGUGUGGCUAAGAAGCAGCUCCUCUCUCUUUGCAAAGCGCUGGGCUGGGGCUGCUGCUGCUGGUGUGAGCCUGUCCUUCCACUUCCGAGCUCUGGCAGCCAGGAGAAGAUCUGAUCGCCCCGCCGGGUCCCUUUGGGAGGGAGGAAGGAAGGAAGGAAGGAAGGAGGGAAGGAAGGAAGGAGGCAGGCAGCCAGGGGAAGAGAAAAGGAGCAAAGCUAAGCAGCAGCAGCCGCCUCCUGCCUCCUCCAGACAGAGCCAGCCGGCGGGGACCGCUUGGGCUCUGCUCCUCUCCUUGCGAUCCGGAGGAGGAGGGAAAGGGGUUUGGUUCCGCAGCAUCCUGAGGACCAUUUCCAUAGUAACCUGCUCCAAGGGGGAUGGGGUGGGUCUCCCCGACCUUUCCAGGAUGGCAUUUGACAGAAUUCACAAAGGGCCCACUCCCAACAUGCAUUUCUAUUGCUGAAACCACACUGGAAUGAAUGGCGGGUGGAAAAGAACAUGGUAAGGCAUUCCCUGCUGCCAUUGACAUGUGGUUGAACUCUGAACUGACAUCAGAACACUAUUCCUAUAACAGUUGGUAAGUUGUCAUAUUUGUGUGGUAUUGUGGCUAAAACAUUUUGCUGUUUGGAAUGAUGGACUUAAAUGGAAAAUAUAUAUUUCCUAUUUUUAAGUAUUUGUUAAAGCUAUUUGUGAAAAGUUUUCAUUGUUUGGCUCCUAAGUACAGUAGAGUCUCACUUAUCCAACACUCGCUUAUCCAACAUUCUGGAUUAUCCAACACAUUUUUGUAGUCAAUGUUUUCUAUACAUCGUGAUAUUUUGGUGCUAAAUUCGUAAAUACAGUAAUUACUACAUAGCAUUACUGCGUAUUGAACUACUUUUUCUGUCAAAUUGUUGUAUAACAUGAUGUUUUGGUGCUUAAUUUGUAAAAUCAUAACCUAAUUUAAUGUUUAAUAGGCUUUUCCUUAAUCUCUCCUUAUUAUCCAAUAUAUUUGCUUAUCCAACGUUCUGCCGGCCCGUUUACGUUGGAUAAGCGAGACUUUACUGUACAUAAAUUAUAUUGAACAGUUACGAGGACAAAUUAAACUUGUAACUAUGGUGCUCUGAGAAAGCUAAGCAAUAUCAAUAGCAAUGAGAAACCAACAAUUCAGUUACAGAAAAGCAGGCCUCUGACUGUUAAAGAGCUAUUAAAGAAACUGUUAGUUGUGGGACAACUUCUGAGGCUUUAGUAAUAUUAUUGACAGCAUCCUAAUAUGUUUCUAUUUUGACAGAAUCUCUGCUAUAAGCCCAGUCUGAUGUCUUACAGUGUAGUUAGAAUAUAGAGCUAUAUUUAAACACACUGUGGAAUAUCUGUUAUCUUUAGGUUUAUAUGAUUUAUCAUUAUUUAUAUUUUCAUUUUAGAGAAAAACAUAUUGGAGGUAGUUUUUUAAGUCAGAUGUUGAUUUUUGUUUCUUAAAAUACCUAUAAAUAUGGUCAGCAAGACAUGAGUGAAUAUGGUGUAGUCAGCUAAUUGAGACGUAAAGCAACUUUAGGGUAUUGUAAAUCAGCCAAAGGUUAGUGAUCAGGAAGACUAAAGUGUAUCUGCUUUGAAAGGUAAGUAAAUCACAUUGGCUAAUGAGUUUAGUGGCAAUGGAGUAAAGAUUGCUUGAGCUAGAUCCAAAGUAAAAGGACUAUUGGAUUAAUGCAGUCAUUCUUCUUCCUCUUGUCUUAGCUUUUUCUUUCUUUGUUUUAGAUAUAUUGGUUUUCAACAUUUUCUGUGAAAGACCCAUUUGUGUGCAAUCUAGAUUCUCUAAUGCAAGAGAGAAAAAUGCAGCAUGUUUGUAAAUUGAUGUAUUCAUUGUAUGUAUAUAUAUUAUUGACUAGUAUUAAAAUACACAAAAAAACCUAGUACAGUAUAUUUAUGUAAAGACCACUGAAGGUCAUAAGAGGAGUUUUACUGGUUUCGUUGGAAACAGUUACUCAGGUUCGGUACACACAGUAUGUUUUAAGUCUUAUCACCAUGUGAUUGGAUUAAAUCUUGAUUACUUGCAACCUCAUCACAUUGGGUUGUUUUCAGUGGCAUGUGUA